UCCGGUUGAUCCUGCCGGAGGCUACUGCUAUUGGAAUUCGACUAAGCCAUGCGAGUCAAGGUGUCUUCGGACGCCGGCAAACGGCUCAGUAACACGUAGGUAAUCUACCCUCAGGACUGAGAUAACCCCGGGAAACUGGGGCUAAUACCAGAUAGAUAAAAGAUACUGGAAUGUUCUUUUAUCCAAAGCUUUUGUGCCUGAGGAUGAGCCUGCGCCCGAUUAGGUAGUUGGUGGGGUAAUGGCCCACCAAGCCUGCGAUCGGUACGGGCAGUGGGAGCUGUAGCCCGGAGUUGGGGACUGAGACAAGGCCCCAGGCCCUACGGGGCGCAGCAGGCGCGAAACCUCUGCAAUGCGGGAAACCGUGACAGGGGGAUUCCAAGUGCUCAUGCAUUGCAUGGGCUGUUCUUUGGUCUAAGUAACCAGAGGAGUAAGGGCUGGGCAAGACCGGUGCCAGCCGCCGCGGUAAUACCGGCAGCUCGAGUGGUAGCCGCGAUUAUUGGGCCUAAAACGUUCGUAGCCGGAUAAGUAAGUCUUUGGUUAAAUCCUACGACUUAACCGUGGGAAAUCUAGAGAUACUGCUUGUCUUGAGACCGGGAGAGGUUGGAGGUACUCCCAGGGUAGGGGUGAAAUCCUGUAAUCCUGGGGGGACCACCUGUGGCGNAGGCGUCCAACUGGAACGGCUCCGACAGUGAGGGACGAAAGCUGGGGGAGCAAACCGGAUUAGAUACCCGGGUAGUCCCAGCUGUAAACGAUGCGCGUUAGGUGUAUCGGUGACCACGAGUCACCGAGGUGCCGAAGGGAAACCGUGAAACGUGCCGCCUGGGAAGUACGGUCGCAAGGCUGAAACUUAAAGGAAUUGGCGGGGGAGCACCACAACAGGUGGAGCCUGCGGUUUAAUCGGACUCAACGCCGGGAAGCUCACCGGAUAAGACAGCUGAAUGAUAGCCGGGUUGAAGACUCUGCUUGACUAGCUGAGAGGAGGUGCAUGGCCGUCGUCAGUUCGUACUGUGUAGCAUCCUGUUAAGUCAGGCAACGAGCGAGACCCACGCCCACAGUUGCCAGCGUACUCUCCGGAGUGACGGGUACACUGUGGGGACCGCCGCUGCUAAAGCGGAGGAAGGAAUGGGCAACGGUAGGUCAGUAUGCCCCGAAUAUCCCGGGCUACACGCGAGCUACAAUGGUUGGUACAAUGGGUAUCUACCCCGAAAGGGGAUGGAAAUCUCCUAAAGCCAAUCUUAGUUCGGAUUGAGGGCUGCAACUCGCCCUCAUGAAGCUGGAAUCCGUAGUAAUCGCGUUUCAACAGAACGCGGUGAAUACGUCCCUGCUCCU
rnacentral:rRNA from 1 species